rnacentral:lncRNA from 1 species
CUUGACAUUAUAAUUAUAAUCCCGAGAUUAUAAUAUUAGAAUUAAUAUUCUUGAGAUUAUAAUUUCAUGGACUAUAAUCCUUAAAUUAUAAUCCUUACAAACAAACAUAGCCCAGGUCUCAAACCUAACAUUUACACUAGGUUCGUUUACAAUAAAGUACACGCAAAUGAAAUUACAUAUUUCCACAUCUUUGUUCCUUACACAAUUUAACACUUGAUUACAUCAUACGUAUCUUAUAACAUUACAAAAAUUAGUAUAAACAUAGCAAAACUGCUACAUCAAUAUUAUCUAUCCUUAGACUUUACUAUUCCCUUCUCUUUAUCUUUAACUUCGGAUCUUUUUCGAUCUUUCGCCUUAUGUGAAAAUUUAAAUAGAAUGCAAGGGUGAGCAACUGAGCAUACCAAAUUUACUCAACAAGUUUAAAAGAUUUUAGAACAUAAGAACGAGUAUAAGUUUCAAUUAUAGAAUUAACAUCACACAUAAUGGUAAAACUGAUGAUUCAAAAAAAAAAAAAGAAUCAACAACAAUAACAUCACAAAAAUCUUGCUUUGGAUUUCAGAGUUUAUGGAAUUCAUCACAUCGUUAUUCACAAGGAUUUCAAUAUUUUUAGAGAGGUAACUGAGUGGUUGUAGGGACCAAGAAUUGAUUAUAAUGUUCAUCAGUCAAAGACUGAGAACUCUCUAGUGUGUUCAAUAAUCACAAAGAUUGUAAACUCUUUGAUAUGUUCAACAAUCAUAAAUAUUGUGAACUCUCCAUAAGGUAUUAUUAGGUGAUCAGUCUAACAUCAUCUCCAACUUAUGACUUCAUCAUAUCUGCACCGUAUUUUAACAGUGCGUCGAUGAUUUCAUCAUUUUUUCACCGUAAUUCAAUGAUAAUGGUCGAACACUCCCCUAUAUAGGGUUGUUCAACUCAGUUAAUACCAUCGGGAAUUCGCACCAAGAAAAAUUUGGUGCGGAGUAUUCAACUUAUCUUUAAGGAAUUUAUUGAAAUUCAAACGGUUAGUAAUCAUUCAAACAUGAACAAUUUGUUGACAGAAUUUAGCUGAAACAAAUGACAUCAACUCUUUAAUAUGCAUGUAUCUCCAUAGUACAAUUUCAACAAUUGAAAGAAUGCAAGAAACGCAUUACGAAGAAUUUAAAGAAUUCAAGAGAACUUGUUGAUUUAGCUGUUUAGUCUCGUAUCCUUUUUAUAUACUCAAUUUUGAGUCGGCUACAGUGUUAUGAAAUAUUAAUUCCCUCAUAAUAAUAUUAACAUUUGUCGGUUACUUCCCGUAAUUAUAUUUUAAUAUUAGUUACGCCUUUAAACCUAUUUUGAAGGUCACUUUCUAUCCAUUAUUGUAUUUCGACACUCAAAAAUUUAUUUUUCUGAAAACUUUAGUCUCAUGGCUUAGUUUUAACUUAUAUUCAUCAAUAAAUUUUUAUUACGCAAUUUUUUUGCUCACUUAAACAAUUUUUUAUUAAUUUUCCCGUUGUCCGAACCUUGCACAAGUCAUACUUGCCGAAUUAUUUUGGUCAAACUCUUUGUACUAGGGCUAGACAUACUCAUUUUAUAAUUCCUUUGAAAAUUUCAAAAAUUUUCCGAGUACGUUUAUUAAGUUGUUUCUGUUCAAAUUUUCAAUAAUCUUCAUAAUUAGAAAUUAAAUCCAAAAAUUAUUAAUUAUGGAUAAUAUUUUCCUUAAAUUAGAAUACACUUUCAUCUAAAAUUCCUUCAUUACACGUCCGUUUACGUUCAUUCAUGAGUUGAAAUACACUUUAUACUACCAGGUUUCAUACUUUAAAAGCACUGAUUUUUAUUUCCCUUGUAAACUAUCCAAUACCUUCUUUUGAAAAACUAGGUCAGAAAGUUACUUAAAUUGCCAUGUUUUGCUAGAAAAUUUAUCAAAAAUAAUUUACAAGGAAAUUAAGUCUCAAACAUGUGCAUGAUUUUAGCUGACUUACAAAGCUAUCAUUCCCAAUAAACCUUACUCAAAAAUUCGAAAUACACUAAAAGUUCUGAUCAUUACAAAAUCAGGCCCUGGUUUAGGAUUUUAUCCCUAUUUUGCUCAAAACUUCAAUAAAGUUUGUUUUAAAUUUUCUUUUCUUGUUGUUAGAAAUGGGUUUGGACAAAAUAAAUAUUUAAGCAUUUUGAGGCUUAAUUUAAUGUGGGACUCACACUUCGAAAAUAUCAAGUCUUUGCACCAAUGCGUUCUCCUUCGCGAGGAGUAUAACGUGAUAUAUUUAUGUGUUCAAAUCCAUUAAGAAUUGAAUGAGAAAAUUGACUCCAAAGUCACCUACUUGAAAUGUUGAAAAUUGUAAAAGUCCCACAUAGGACAAAAUGAAGAAUUUAUAUAUGGGAUGUUUGCUUAAUGGAAAGGGCCCCAAGGGGCAUCCCACUUUUGUGGAAGACAGAGGACCUAGCCAAGGCUUGGUUUGAACCCACACGCGCGCCGUCGUCUGGACGGGCGGGUUGGGUCGGAAUAUAUAAUUUUUUGGACAAAAUCUAUUUCAAAUUAUCAUCACGAUACUACGUCGUUUUGCCGAACAGUUGCACGCCAACAGUAAUAUCCCAACUAAUACACCGCAGAAUUAUUCUAUAAAUAAUCCAUCUGGGCGCGCAUUAUAACAAAAGUUUAAUUUUCCUAUUCUGUUUUCCUUCCCGUUUCUGCAAAAGUUCCCGUUUCGUUCUCUGCCAAAGUUUAGACAAACACUGUGCAGUAAGUUUUUUCUUUAUUCCUUCCCAGAUUUUCUUCAUGCAUCAUUACUAUUCAUUCCUUCCAGUUUAGUACAUAACAUAGAAUUGCGUUCAAAGUGUUCUUAAUUUUGAAGUGCUUCUAAUUAAGAACUGAAAAUCCGUUUAAUUUUGGGAAGCAAUUAUUCAAUUAAUCCUUUAACACAAGUGAGGAAAUAAAUUUGCUUUAAUGAGACUUUGUGAAUUCAAAGGACUCGAAUUUAUCUAUUUUAUAUUUCCAAAAAAUUCCAACUUCAAUUUUCAAGUAAGUCUAAUAUUUUUCAUUUUAUAAUUUUGUUCUGUUUUGCUCAACUAUAUAUAUAUAUAUAUAUAUAUAUAUAUAUAUAUAUAUAUAUANNNNNNNNNNNNNNNNNNNNNNNNNNNNNNNNNNNNNNNNNNNNNNNNNNNNNNNNNNNNNNNNNNNNNNNNNNNNNNNNNNNNNNNNNNNNNNNNNNNNAAUAGACAACAAGUUUUAGAUCAACAGCUGCAGCGGAAUAAGCAAACCAAUUAGAAGAGUCAAGUAGAGCAUAAAAUCUACUAUCUUCUAUGAUUUAAAAAGUUUUUCAUCAACUUUAUCGCUGAGACUCAGCUUAAUAAAUAAAAUCAAAUCAUCCCUGCACCACGGCCAAGGAUAUUCAUAUAAUCAUCAAUGGUCAUGAUUAUACCGAAUAAAAAACGUUGUCGAUAUAUAUGCAAAAACGUUAUCUAUUUAAAAAGGCAUUUUUUUAGUUUUAAAUAGAUAACAUUUUUUUUAAAAACGUUGUGUAUGUGAAAAACACGGAGCUUAAUUUAGGCGGAAGUGAAAACUUAGAAUUAAAAAUCCUAAAUAGUUCUUUCUCUCUCAAAAGUUUUCGUAUUUCAUCUCACACUUCUCUCUUUCUCUACUCCUAAACAGUCACGAAAACUAAGGUUCAAAUGGCCAAAACCAGAGGGGAUUCAGUAUCGUUCGUCAACCAGUUCAAAGGGAAGAAGGAUCGAUAGUGGCUCCCAAGCCUAACCGUCGUUCGAAUCGGCUUCGCCAGAGAUUGGGUACCGAUUUUGGGGUUUCUUCUCAGAGCAUGAAACAUAGAGGGAAAACAUCGGGUAAAACGAUUUUGUGUGCAGGAUAUUGAACCUAGCAGAACUGAUGCCUCCGUGGUGGUGUCGGACUUCGUUGAUGGCAUCGUGAAGGAGCAGAAGUAACAGAAAGCGGGUGGAGUGAAUGAUGAUGUGGAGAUGGAUCCGGAUGAGGUGGAGAUGAUGAAGAUGAUGGGGAUUCCGGUAGGGUUUGAUUCAACCAAGGGGAAGCCCGUGGCUGGUAAUGAUGCCUAGACAGUAUAUCAAUCGUUGAUUUUUAUUUCUCAGAGGUUAGGGUUUCUUCAUUUUUAUAUUUUCAUGUAUUCCCCCUUAUUAGCAAAUUAAUUAUAUUAUACUAUUUUUCCCCUUAAUAGAAAAUUAAUUGUUAGUGAUGGAUAUAUUGAGGAGGCAACAUUAGGAAUUUCAUUUAUUUACUCUACUAUUGGAAUUGCAAAUUUGAAAAAAGGGUUUUACAUUCAAUGGGUCUAUUGAGAGUAAUCUUCAUUCAAUGGGUCUCAUGUUUUCAAGUUCAGUCUGGUCGUCGAGGCUGGAAUAUUGCAUUGCUUUAAGCUAUAGUCACGAGUGUUGGUUUUUGCAUUUCGCCGAAACGUUUUAUGCUGAAUUAAUAUGCAAUAUUGUUAUUUAGUGAUACAGCAGUUUGCUACAUUAAGUAUAUUAUACUUUAAGUAUAUUAUAAACUUCCUACUGGAGUUUUGAGUUCUAAUUUGAUUAUAAUGCAGGUAUGAUUUUAAUAAAAUCCAACUUCUUUUCAUAAGUUUGCCUGUUUGCCCUUCUCUCGACAAGUUGGGAAAUUUCUUAUAAUGGAUACAAACUUGAAGAGUUUGUACCCCAGAAAACAUCUGCUUAUAUAAGCCAAAAUGAUCAACAUAUCCCUGAGAUGACUGUUAGGGAAACACUUGAUUUUUUAGCCCGCUUUCAGGGUAUUGGAAGUCGAGCAGGUAAUCCUGCUUUGAUCACAGAGAAACUACAAUUAGUUCGAAAUCUUUAUUAGUAUAUUCUAGUACUGGUAAUUGAUGUAAUUUUUUUUUUUACUUUCAUAUAGACGAUGAUUGAGGUCAGCAGAAGGGAGAAAGAGGCAGGAGUUGUUCCAGAUCCAGAUAUAGAUACUUACAUGAAGGUAUUAUCAUCUCUACUGUUCUUCCUGUCCAAACUUCUGGAGUUAUGAGACUGUCUCACAAUGGAUAGAAUCUGUCGUCCUUUAAACAAUUCAAAUUAAUCUAGUAUGAAUUACUGCUAUGUAGCCUUUGUUUCCUUACAGAUAUCCUGAAGGGACUUCUACUGUGGUUGUUUCAAGUAGAAUUAUUACUUGAUUGUUGGAAAUAUCUCAAGAAAUUAUUGUUGGGAACAUACAACUUGCAGCUGAAACAUAUGUGAAAUUAUUUCUUGCAGAUAACAAUUCUAUCAAACACAGGCCAACCAAAACUAAGAAAUUAACAUCCCAUGUGCUUCUUUGAAUGACCAUGAUACAGACUUGAAGAAAGAAUAAUCUUAAAACUAUGACUACUUGGCCAUCAGUAAAAUUACAUAAUACUUCUUCUGCCUUUAAAAUGAUUCAUCAAUAGUUAUGAUUUAUUAGUCAUCCUGGUCAGGAAAUGCGGUAAAGCUUAAUCUGAUACCCAAAUUGGAAGGCAACCUUAACUUUGAAGUAAUGCUUCAUGUACCAGAGAUGUAGAUACUCAAUGCUAAUGCUAGAUACCUGUAUCUAGCACACUGUUGACUUCAAUAGGUCUCUGCAGUGUUUUGCUAAUGCAAUAGCUUUGUCCAUCUGCUUGAAUGUGUUGCUUAAGUAUGAUUUCUUGAAUAAGUAAUGAUGGCCUUGCCAUGUGAGACAUGUCGCCUUAAGUUCUUAGGGAAGUUAGAAGUCAUUCUUAUAAAAGAAAGAAAGGGAAAAUAAACAUCCAUCUCCAGUGCAAGUUGAUUUCCUUAUCACGAGGUUAUUCACAGGAUCGUUGAUAAGCUCUGACUUAUCACCAAAAAAAAAAGAUUGUUGAUAAUCUCUAUGCUGUUGGGAAGCUCAAGUCUAAAGAUGCUUUAACUCUGCUAACAUUUUCAGGCAAUUUCUGUUGAAAGACAAAAGGAAACUCUUUAGAUUGAUUACAUUUUAAGAGUAAUUCUUUUCAGCUGAUCUCGAGCUUAAUUUCUUAUUUUGACAAUGCAUUAUCCAUUAAUAACCUUUGAGUUCUAGUUGUGAGUUCCAGUCUGUAAGAUAUUGCCAUUUUUCACAUGUCUUUGCAGAUUUUUGGUCUUGACAUAUGCGCUGACGUACUGGUUGGAGACGCAAUGAAAAGAGGCAUCUCUGGUGGCCAGAAGAAAAGAUUGACCACAUGUAGUUUGAAUUCAGUAAUGGCAGUUUUAGUAUUACUAAUGCGAUUUCCCAAUCAAAAAAAUGUCAUUUUUAACUUCAAUUAGUAGUAUAAAUGGUGAGAAAUAAAUAUAUUUCGUGUUGACUUUGUCCAUUUCUCCCACACAGCUGAAGCAUUCCAAAUACAUGCAUAUUUAACUUUGCAAUUGUGCCUACCGGCUUUUGUUUCUGCACUACUACCUGUUAUAUUUAAUCUUAAUGAUUUUUAUAACACUGUUAUAUUUAAUCUUAAUGAUAUUUAAUCAAUUUAGGUUUAUUUAAAAGCUACUAACAGAGAUGAUGUGCUAUAUUGUGUUGCUUUUGUUGAGACGCUGUCUCUAUGACAGUGAUGAUGAGGUCAGUUGUAUUUUUAUUUGAAGUCUAUAGUUUAUGAUUCUUAUACACUGUAGUGAUAUUUUAUACUUGUUUAGAAGUUGGUGCAUAAAUUGGAUCUUCUGGUUUGUUUUCCUUGUUCAUUAUGGUUUAUUCUUUUCACAUUCACAAGCUUAUCAUUUGAUUCAAAAUUUCAAGGAUUAUUGAAUAAAGAUUGAAACUUUAAGCAUUUUUCUUGGGUAGUUGGAUGUAUAGGCUCAUGUUAUCUUCUGACUAUUGCAGUGAAUUUUGGUGUAUUGUGAAAUUAUUGAAAAAAAGUCUUACUGACAUGCAGAAGGUAUUACUCAGCUAGGUACCUUAAGGUCCACUGUAUUAGAGGCUGAAUACUAUGUAGUUUGGACAUUGUCAAUAUGAGCACUACUCUAGUAUGUAAAUGUACUUCAUGAUAUUCAUACCGAAUAAUCCCUGGUCAUAAUCAUACCAAGUCCAUCUAUGCACGUAAGCCAAAGAUGAUUUUCAUCACAAUAUAAGCAUGAGGAUGAUGACAAUGACAUAAUAAUUCAAUAAAACAAGUUCAAUGAUAAAAUUUAAAGAUUUAUAAUUUAAUUUAUCCAGGAAUCAAUAAUGUCCAAAUUGUCAACAUGAUACUGCUUUGUGAGGUAAAAUUCAAGAAUGCUCAGAAGAAUAUUUCUAUGAAAAGAUACUGGAUGAAGCGUAAAUAUCCAAGAUAUUCUACUAAUUUCAUGGAGUAUAGAAGUCAAAACUUUAACCAACUGAGUAUAAUAGAAUAUAUGAAACUGCAAAUGAAUUUUCGCCCGCCAUGCGGUAAUCCACGUAGACAGAUCAUUUCCACAAUUUAAUAAGGAAUGAAUACGAAGGAUCAUUCACCAUGCAUGCGGUAAUCCACAUAGACAGGUUAUUCUAACAGAAUAAUAAAGAAUGGAAUAACAGAAGAAUUCACCAUGCAUUCGAUAGACCGCACAGACAUGUUAUUUUAAUAGAAUAAUAAAGAAUGAAACCAGAUCAUGCGUAAUCCGCACAGACAGGAUAUUCCAACAGAAUAAUAAAGAAUGAAAUAACAACAAUAUUCACCAGGCAUGCGAUAGACUGCACAGACAGGUUAUUCCAACAGAAUAAUAAAGAAUGAAAUAACAACAAAAUUCACCAGGCAUGCGAUAGACCGCACAGACAGGUUAUUCCAACAGAAUAAUAAAGAAUGGAAUAACAGAAGAAUUUUACCAUGUAUGCGGUACUUCGCAUAGACAUGUUAUUCCAACAUAAUAAUAAAGAAUGGAAUAACAACCCUUACGAGUAUUGAAAGAAAAUAACUCUCUUCAUGAAUACGAAAGAAUAAUACCCCUUACCUUAGAAGAAAACUGGAUACUGGAAUAGUGAGGUAGCAGACUUCUCUUCUUCUUUCUCUCUAUAAUUUCUCUCUAUAAUAAUUGCUCUAUAGCUUUAGUGAAUUGGUGAGAAAUGAAGGAAGAAUGAGCUUCUAUUUAUAGGAAAAUAUAGUUUCGAUAAUUGCACGUUUUGGGGCUCGAAAUAUUACAGUAUAAUACCUUCCUCUUUUUCUUCAUUUUUAAUUUAGUCCUGCAAGUAUUAUCAAACUUGCACCACCUCCCCUAAUAGUAAAUAAUGUGAAUCAAUAGUUCAAUCAUGUGAAUCAAUAGUUAUAAUCAUGUGAAAAUACGAAUUACAGUAUAGUACCUCCAUCUAUACCUCUAUUUUUAACUUAGUCAUGCAAGUAUUAUCAAUCUUGCACCAACUCCCCUAAUAGUAAAUCAUGUGAAUCAAUAGUACACACAUGUGAACACAUAGUUAUAAUCAUGUGAAUUAAUAACAAUUAAUUGCUCAUUUAUCCGGUACCCGAUUGGUCAACAUAACCUCCAGACAUCAAUUAUUAUCUAAAUAAAUGUCGAUUUCUACUAACACUAAUAAUUCCAACACAAUGAAACUAUCAAUUUCAUCUUUAAUCAACACAAACUUAUUCAUGAUUAAUAUUAUAACUCAUAAUAUUUAACAACCAGGUCGUUCCCAGGAAAGAGGGGGCUUUCCGAUAAGGAUUUCUCCCUAUUAGCGCGCAAUUAGAUUAUCUAACCUCUCCUUGACAGAACUUAUAGACAUUGUAAAUAUUGCAAUUUAAUAAUAUGAAUAACUUUGUCAUCUCAAUUAUUGAUUUAAUAAUAUAUCGUAUUAUGCAGAUGAUACUGUGAAAAUAAUUGAAUCAAUAAUAUGAAAGAUAUGAUGCGGCAAUUACUGCAGCAAUAAUUGAGUAUAACUGAGUGUCUUCUUACGUAAGCAUCAAUAAUCAAUACCGUGUGCUACUAUGCAACCACGCGUAUUACUGUACUUUUACUACCAGGUAGUUCAACAGUUUUAACGGUAACACUUUCGCUGUUAUUUUUAUAAAAAAAUAAUUCUGUCGUUUUCUAAAUACGACAAUACUUCCGUUGUGGAGUCCACCAAUGAUUGUGCCGUCGUACGGAUAUUCCCGACAAAAAGAAUAUUCCCCGACCAAACGAAUAUUUUAUAACAACUUGCAUACUUUGCAAAAUUUAUAAAUAUUACCCACAACUAUAACAUUAUAUCAAAUCCACACCAUAAUAUUCAAAAAUAUAUUUCAAAAAAAAUAUUCUUUAUUCAUAAAAGUUGGGGUCUUACAUAUAUAUUACGGAAUAACAAUCUUAAAGCAAAUUUAAUGAUUCUGUAAUUGUAGUAUUAUUUAAUCUGUUUAUUUAUGUGAACAGAAGAUCAGUUUUAAAACAAAUUUUCUAUAGAAAUAUAAUUAUGUAGAAACAGUAUUUAAACAGAAUAAAAUUACAUAGUAUUAUGUUAAUAUAAAGUAUUCUGUUAUUAUAUAUAUUACAGAAAUAUUAUAUAUAUUACAUGUUAACUGAUUUAUAUAUUCUGUUAUUAUAUAUGUUCCAUGUUAAUUGAAUGCAUUUUAAUAUUCUGUUAUUGUUUAAAUUUAUAUGAGUAGUACAGUAUUGUGUACUAUAGGAGUAAUAAAUCAAUAAAUGCAAAUUGCAAUAGCAUGUGAUUGUCAAAACUUAUCCAACUAUAGAAUGCAAAUCUAUUAAACAGAAAUUUAUAAACAGAAUUUGGAUUUCUGCUAAACAAAAUUUGUUGCUUGAAUUUUGCAAACAAAUUUUGUUGUUUGAAUUCUGUUAAAUUUUGUAAAACAGAAAAUUUUGUUUCUAUUUAUUCAUAAUUUUCUUCUUUGUAUAACAGAAAUGACAUCUACUAGUACCAUUCCUGCCGUGAGUAUGUCUCAUGGAGAAAAGACUGAAAAGUUCAAUGGAACUGAUUUCAAGCGUUGGCAACAAAAGAUGCUCUUCUAUCUCACAACAUUGAAUUUGGCAAGGUUUCUAAAAGAGGAUUGUCCUACUCUUGUUGAAGGAGAAACAGACAAAAAAAAAGUGGCUGCAGUUGAUGCAUGAAAAUAUGUAGAUUUCUUUUGUAGAAAUUAUGUGAUGAAUGGAUUAGAAAAUACACUGUAUAAUUUGUAUUGUACAAUUCAAAUUGCAAAGAAACUUUAGGAAUCUUUAGACAAGAAAUAUAAAACUGAAGAUGGUGACAUGAAAAAAUUCAUUGUUGGUAGAUUUCUUGACUAUAAAAUGGUAGAUUCUAAAGCAGUCAUCACUCAAGUUCAAGAAUUACAAGUAAUUCUACAUGAUAUUCAUUCUGAAGGAAUGUCAUUAAGUGACGCAUUCCAGGUUGCUACAAUGAUUGAGAAACUUCCACAAUCAUGGAAAGACUUCAAGAAUUAUCUUAAGCAUAAACGCAAAUAGAUGAAUCUUGAAGAACUGAUUGUGCGACUUAGGAUUGAAGAGGACAAUCGAGGAUCUGAGAAGAAGAUUGAAAAAAAUUUCAUUGAAGCAAAGGUUAAUGUGGUAGAACAAAGGUCAAAUAAUAACAACAAAAGGAAGCGUGAAGGCAAAGAUACUUUCAAGGCCAAGAAAAAAUUCAAAGACAAAUGCUUCAACUGUGGCAUUCCAGGACAUAAAUCAAAUGAAUGUUGCAAGCCAAAGAAAUUCAAGAAAGAACAAAAGACUCAAGCAAAUGUGACAGAACUGGAAAAACUUUCUGAAAAUAUUUUAGACAUUAAUAUCUCCGUAGUUGUAUCUGAGUGUAACUUAAUAGGAAACCCCAAAGAAUGGUGGGUGGACACUGGGGCUACUCGCCAUAUUUUUUCCAACAAAUGGAUGUUUUCUACCUACAAACCAGUAGAAAAUGAUGAGCAACUCUUCAUGGAAAACUCCUCAAGUUCAAAGGUUCAAGAACGUGGAAAGAUUGUACUGAAAAUGACAUCUGGCAAAGAACUGACUUUGAAUGAAGUGUUUCAUGUGCCAGAUAUCCGCAAAAAUUUAGUUUCUGGGUCACUACUUAGCAAGAAUGGCUUCAAAUUGGUGUUUGUGUCUAAUAAAUUUAUACUUACCAAAAAUGAUGUUUGUGGAAAAGGGCUAUAUGUUUGAUGAGCUCUUUAAGAUGAAUGUAAUGACUGUUGUACCAAAGUCUAUUGAUAAUAAUAAAAUUAAUUCUUCUGCUUACUUGUUAGAAUCUUCAAAUAUAUGACAUGCUAGAUUAGGACAUGUUAAUUAUAAUACAAUACGUAGAUUAAUUAAUUUAGAAUUCUUGCCUAAAUUUGAUAUUAAUCAAAAAAAUAAAUGUGAAAUUUGUGUGGAGUCAAAAAUGACAAGAUUACCUUUUCAUUCUGUUGAAAGAAAAAUUGAACCUCUAGAUUUAAUUCACACUGAUAUAUGUGACUUAAAGUUUGUGCAAACAAGAGGUGGAAAAAAAAUAUUCCGUUGCCUUUAUUGAUGAUUGCACAAGAUAUUGUUAUGUAUAUUUGCUGAGAAGCAAAGAUGAGGCUAUAGAAAUGUUUCAACUUUAUAAAAAUGAAGUUAAAAAUGAACUUAGCAAAAAGAUUAAAGCAAAAAGAAGCGAUAGAGGUGGUGAAUAUGAAUCACCAUUUGAAGAGAUAUGCUCUACUCAUGGUAUUAUUCACCAAACUGCCGCACCUUAUUCACCUCAAUCUAACGGUAUUGCUGAACGCAAGAAUCGAAAAUUGAAAGAAAUGUUGAAUGCUAUGUUAACUAGUUCUGGAGCACCCUAGAAUUUGUGGAGGGAAGCUUUGCUUUCUGCAAAUUAUAUUCUUAACAAAGUGCCUCAUAAGAAAACUCACAAAACACCUUAUAAAUUAUGGAAAGGUCAUAGACCUUGCUAUAAAUACUUAAGAGUGUGGGGGUGUGUAGCAAAAGUGAUGCUUACUAAACCUAAAAAGGUAAAGAUAGGACCAAAAAUAAUUGACUGUGAGUUCAUUGGUUAUGCAAAUAAAGUAGUGCUUAUCGUUUUCUAGUUCAUAAAUCUGAAAUUCCUGAUGUUCAUGUUAAUACUUUUGUUAAAUCAAGAGAUGCAUCGUUCUUUGAGAAUGUGUUUCCAUAUAAUAUAAAUAAAGAGUCAAAUUCAUACAAAAGACCUUUGGAUGCUACUAGUAAUAAUCCUGAAAAUAUAGACAAAAAGUCUAUAGUGGAUGAACCUAGACAUAACAAAUGGGCAAAGACUUCAAAGUCUUUUGGUCCAAAUUUUCAAAUAUUUUUGUUAGAAAACGAUCCUUAAACAUACAAGGAAGCAAUAUCCUCUCCAGAUGCUUCUCAUUGGAAAGAAACAAUUAAUAGUGAAAUUGAGUCCAUUAUGCACAAUUAUACAUGGGAAUUGGUGAAUCUUCCACCUGGUUCCAAACCCUUAGGAUAUAAAUGGAUAUUCAAAAAGAAGAUGAAAGUUGAUGGUUCAAUUGAUAAAUAUAAAGCAAGGCUUGUUUUUAAAAGCUAUAGACAAAAGGAAGGAUUGAAUUAUUUCGACACUUAUUCACUAGUUACAAGAAUUACAUCUAUUCGUAUGCUAAUAGCAAUAGCAUCAUUAAAUAGACUUGAAAUACAUCAAAUGGAUGUAAAAAAUGCAUUUUUAAAUGGUAAAUUAGAUGAAGAAAUAUAUAUAGAACAACCUGAAGGUUUCAUUGCUCCUGGACAAGAGAGGAAAGUAUGCAAACUUGUUAAAUCCUUGUAUGGAUUGAAACAAGCACCAAAACAAUGACAUGAGAAAUUUGAUAAUGUUAUAUUAACAAAUGGAUUUAAAAUCAAUGAGUGUGACAAAUGUGUUUAUGUCAAAAGCACUCAUAAGGAAUAUGUUAUUGUUUGUCUUUAUGUGGAUGAUAUGUUAAUCAUGGGUAGCAACAAUGAAGUUAUCAACUCUACCAAAUGUAUGUUGUCAAAUAAAUUUGAUAUGAAAGACUUGGGGGUUGCGAAAAUAAUAUUAGGAAUCAAGAUUUCCAGAAUAUCUGAUGAAAUUAUAUUAUCUCAAACUCAUUACAUUGAAAAAUACUUGAAAAAUUUAACAAGUAUAAUAUAAUUCUAAAUAAGAUCCCAGUUGAUAUAAAUCUUCAUUUAGCCAAAAAUAAAGGUGAUAGCAUAUCUCAACUAGAAUAUUCUCGUAUAAUAGGCAGUUUAAUGUAUGUCAUAAACUGUACUAGACCAGAUAUAUCUUAUUUGGUAAGUAAGCUAAGUCGGUAUAUGAGUAAUCCAGGUAAAGAUCACAGGAAAGCUAUUUUUAGAGUUUAGGGAUAUUUAAAACAUACUCAAAAUUAUGGACUGCACUAUACAAGAUAUCCAACAGUAUUGGAAGAAUAUAGUGAUGCUAAUUGGAUAUCUGAUAAUAAAGACUCAAAAUUCACAAGUGGAUAUGUCUUUACCCUUGGAGGUACAGCGGUAUCUUGGAAAUCCUCAAAACAAAUGUGUAUUGCAAGGUCUACAAUGGAAUCAAAAUUCAUUGCGUUAGACAAAGCUAGAGAAGAAGCAGAGUGGCUUCGCAAUUUCCUAGAGGAUAUUCCAAAUUGGUCAAGACCUGUGCCAGCUAUAUGUAUACACUGUGAUAGCCAAUCAGCAAUUGGAAGAGCACAUAGUCAUUUAUAUAACGGUAAGUCACGCCAUAUACGACGAAGACAUAAUACCGUUAGACAAUUGCUCUCAAAUGAAAUUAUCUCAAUUGACUAUGUAAAGUCAAAAGAUAAUAUUACAGAUUCGCUUACAAAAGGUUUAACAAGAGAGCAAGUGGAAAGUUCAUCGAAGGGAAUGGGUUUAAAGCCUAUUGUUUAAAUAAGAGUCGUCAUAGUGGCAACCCAACCUAGCUGACUGGAGAUCUCAAGAUCUAGGUUCAAUGGGCAAACCGAACUAUGUAGUACUGAGUAAAUCAUUGAGGAGAUAUUUACUCCUAACCAUUCCUAUUAUGAGACAGUGCACAUCUGCCGCGAGAACCAGGAUAAGUUACAUUUUUAAUGACUUUUAUAUCUUGAAAUACGUUCAAAUGGAGUAUUGCAGAAUACUUUUGAUAGAAUUUACCUACGUGAGUAAAAAGGGGGCCACUUCUAUGAGAAUUUGAAGGCUGAAUUCUCUAAUAUACUCACAGAACCAAGAGGUGUUUCAAGGCCAAAAUGAACACAAACGUGAGAACCAAUUAUAUCUGAAGAAAUAUUUUUUGAAUUCUAUUGUCUUGAUUUACACGAAAAAACUAACAGUUCAAAGACAUCAAGUCUACUGAUUAGCUUAGUAAAUCCGAUAGACUUUACUAGGGCAAGUUCAAAGCCACUAGGCUACUUAACCCGAUGAAGUAUCUUUUCUCAUGUACUCGAACUAGUAUCUGCAUAUUCAUAACAUUUAUUUAUUUUUCUCUUUUUUUCCAUGUUGUAAAGUCAAUUUUACAUUCAUGUGGGGGAUUGUUGGAAAUGAGUUUGGACAAAAUAAAUAUUUAAGCAUUUUGAGGCUUAAUUUAAUGUGGGACCCACACUUCGAAAAUGUCGGGUCUUUGCACUAAUGCGUUCUCCUUCGCGAGGAGUAUAACAUGGUAUAUUUAUGUGUUUAAAUCCAUUAAGAAUUGAAUGAGAAAAUUGACUCCAAAGUCACCUACUUGAAAUGUUAAAAAUUGUAAAAGUCCCACAUAGGGCAUUAGAGGAAAAAAUGAAGAAUUUAUAUAUAGGAUGUUUGCUCAAUGGAAAGGGCCCCAAGGGGCACCCCACUUUUGUGGAAAGCAGAUGACCUAGCCAAGGCUUAGUUCGAACCCACACGCGUGCGCCGCUGCCGUCCGGACGGGCGGAUUGGGACGUGAUAUAUAAUUUUUUGGACAAAAUCUGUUUAAAAUUAUCAUCACAAUACUACGUCGUUUUGACGAACAGUUGCACGCCAACGGUAAUAUCCCAACUGAUAAACCGCGAAAUUAUUCUAUAAAUAAUCCAUCUGGGCGCGCAUUAUAACAGAAGUUUAAUUUUCCCGUUUUGUUUUCCUUCCCUUUUCUGCAAAAUUUCCCGUUCCGCUCUCUGCCAAAGUUUAGACAAACACUGUGCAGUAAGUUUUUUCUUUAUUCCUUCCUAGUUUUUCUUCAUGCAUCAUUACUAUUCAUUCCUUCCAGUUCAGUACAUAACAUAGAAUUGCUUUCGAAGUGUUCUUAAUUUUGAAGUGCUUCUAAUUAAGAACUGGAAAUCCGUUUUAUCUUGGGAAACAAUUAUUCAAUUAAUCCUUUAGCACCAGUGAGAAAAUAAAUUUGCUUUAAGAAGACUUUAUGAAUUCAAAGGACUCGGAUUUAUCUAUUUUAUAUUUCCAAAAAAUUCUAACUUCAAUUUUCAAGAGUCUAAUAUUUUUCAUUUUAUAAUUCUAUUUUGUUUUACUUAACUUUUUGUUAUUAUAUAUAUAUAUAUAUAUAUAUAUAUAUAUAUAUAUGUGUAUAUAUAUAUAUAUUACAGAAUAACACUUGUUACUAUUAGGAUUUUUUUAUUUUCUUUGCCAUGGUCCAUGUUAUCACAUUCUAACAUGUUAUUAUUUACUUUUAGCAUAUACAAAUUCAUAUACAUACAUAUUUAAUCCAUAAAAUAUAUCUUAGGAAUUAGUUUAGGGUUUUAACUACUCUCGAAACUGUUUAAUUCAUAAUUAAUUUCUCUAGAACUCCGAUUGUGGUCCAAUUUUUGGCAGAACCUCCCCUAUAAUAUCAUUUUUCUCUACUUAGGAGUCCAGGGUCAGCCUUGCCCUCAAACUCCACCACAAACAAGCAAUUUAAAUUCUGCCAUGUUCAGAUCAGCCUACUUACGGAAUUCAUAAUUAGAAGAAUUCCCAAAUUCUCAGAAAACGUAGCUAACUUUCAUGUCUAUAACAUAUAAAAAAAUCAGAUUUUAUCUCCUUAUGGUUUAGGAGUUAUAACUUUCAUAAAAAUAGGACAGAAACUGCCUUGUUUUCUCUUUUUUAAGUUUUUCCAAGUUUGCUUGUUUUAUAUUUUUGAUUUCUCUUUCAUGAUCCAAGGUUACAUACCAUUAACAUCUUUACAUGUUAAAAGUUUCAAAGAUUUCAUAAGGAAAAAAUUUACAAAAUUUUCUAUGAAUGAAAAGUGAGUUAAUUUAGGGUUUACCUUACCUAGCUACUUUAGUUUUUCCUUUCUUCUUCUCCUCCUUGCGUCCUAACUUCAAACCUUCUCUUCUUUCUCUGUUUUGUGAGCGCUCUUCUCUCUCUCUCUUGUUUCAGCGGCGCUUGGUGAGGGGUGUGUAUGGGUUUAUUUUCAUUUUUCUUUUGGGAUAAGCUUUGAUCUCAAAAUAUCUUGGGAGGCUUAUUGGAGAAGCCUCCUCCCCCCUAUCCUUAUCGCUUGGCUGAAAUUUGUAUAGUAUCUCUAAUUCUUUCUC